GAUCUACCGGCUUGUUCUUUCUGUCGCAAAUCCCAGCAAACAAACCACUUUCUCUAUAACCAACUGCUGGCUUUGAGUCUGUCCAGUUUUCCAUAUUUUUCAAGACACAAUUUUUAACAGGGGAAAGGGCAUCACUGAGUGAGCUGACGGGAAGAACUCCAGGUGCUCACAGUGAUUCUGAGGGAUUUGAGGGUCAAGCAGAACCUCCAGAAAGACACCCACCUCAGCCUUCCAGACACCAUGAUAGCAAUGCGGUCACAUAUGGCCUCAGCUUCAGCCAGAUCCCUCAAUCAAGGAUGCAGGAAACAGCGCCCAUCCCUCCAUUCCUGCUCUGCUGCGGACACUCUCUGAAAAGGUGCAGACAUCAUUUCUACUCUCCAUUCUUUUUUUUUUUUUUUUUUAGAUUUUAUUUAUUUGACAGAGA